CCUACGGGAGGCAGCAGUGAGGAAUAUUGGUCAAUGGACGGAAGUCUGAACCAGCCAUGCCGCGUGCAGGAAGACGGCCCUAUGAGUUGUAAACUGCUUUUGUACAAGGGUAAACCUGAAUACGUGUAUUUAGCUGACAGUACUGUACGAAUAAGGAUCGGCUAACUCCGUGCCAGCAGCCGCGGUAAUACGGAGGAUCCAAGCGUUAUCCGGAUUUAUUGGGUUUAAAGGGUGCGUAGGCGGAUUGAUAAGUUAGAGGUGAAAUGUCCGAGCUUAACUCGGGGACUGCCUCUAAUACUGGGGAUCUGGAGAGUAGGUGCGGUAGGCGGAAUGUAUGGUGUAGCGGUGAAAUGCUUAGAGAUCAUACAGAACACCGAUUGCGAAGGCAGCUUACCAGUCUAUAUCUGACGUUGAGGCACGAAAGCGUGGGGAGCAAACAGGAUUAGAUACCCUAGUAGUC
rnacentral:rRNA from 1 species